CUGCUGCCUUCCGUAGGAGUUUGGACCGUGUCUCAGUUCCAAUGUGGGGGACCUUCCUCUCAGAACCCCUACUGAUCGUCGCCCCGGUGGGCCGUUACCCCGCCGGCAAGCUAAUCAGACGCAUCCCCAUCCUUUACCGGCCGAAGCCUUUGGUCAUGAAAAUAUGCAUCAACAUGACAACAUACGGUAUUAAUCCGCCUUUCGACGGGCUGUCCCAUAGUAAAAGGGCAGGUUGGAUACGCGUUACUCACCCGUGCGCCGGUCGCCA
rnacentral:rRNA from 1 species